UAGGGAAUCUUCCACAAUGGACGAAAGUCUGAUGGAGCAACGCCGCGUGAGUGAUGAAGGGUUUCGGCUCGUAAAACUCUGUUGUUGGAGAAGAACGGGUGUCAGAGUAACUGUUGACAUCGUGACGGUAUCCAACCAGAAAGCCACGGCUAACUACGUGCCAGCAGCCGCGGUAAUACGUAGGUGGCAAGCGUUGUCCGGAUUUAUUGGGCGUAAAGCGAGCGCAGGCGGUUUUUUAGGUCUGAUGUGAAAGCCUUCGGCUUAACCGGAGAAGUGCAUCGGAAACCGGGAGACUUGAGUGCAGAAGAGGACAGUGGAACUCCAUGUGUAGCGGUGAAAUGCGUAGAUAUAUGGAAGAACACCAGUGGCGAAGGCGGCUGUCUGGUCUGCAACUGACGCUGAGGCUCGAAAGCAUGGGUAGCGAACAGGAUUAGAUACCCUGGUAGUCCAUGCCGUAAACGAUGAGUGCUAAGUGUUGGAGGGUUUCCGCCCUUCAGUGCUGCAGUUAACGCAUUAAGCACUCCGCCUGGGGGAGUACGACCGCAAGGUUGAAAC
rnacentral:rRNA from 1 species